CCUAGACUCCAGUGGUCACUUUCACAGCUACAGUGUGCAUCAAUACCAGGAAACUGAUGUUGGACCCACAUAAACAUACAAACCUGUGUGCUCUCAUCACAGCGUGAGUUUGCAUAACCACAGCUACAGCCAAGGUACAGGAAGAGUGCCCCCGUGCCACUCGCUGGUACAGGCAUGUCCCUUCUGCGUUUUACUGCCUACCACGCACAACUGCUGCUGAUCGCUGUUCAGAUUCCAUAAUCCUGGGCAUGAUGACAAAGGAAGGAGACAAUCACUAGUCCUGUACAGCUUCCCACAGCAAUGAGCAGCACUGCAAGAUACCCCAAAAGCAGGGAACACCCAGGGUUUCAGCAUCAAAGGAACACCUAUGGCAGCUGCCUUGUGAACUGAGCAGCCUCCAGAGCCUCUGACCCUGCAGGACGAAGCCACCAUUGCUGGACUACCCAGUCCUGAUGUGCGAACCAAUCUAGUAGAUUGCUUUUGAAUGUAAACACAUUCUAUUAGUUCCCAGGCCCUAGAGGACCUUAACUCAUACAUUCAUAAUUUUAAAAAAUAUUUAUUUUUGCAUUGUGA